UCCCUGGUGGUCUAGUGGUUAGGAUUCAGCACUUUCACUGCUCUGGCCCUGGGUUCAAUUCUUAGUCUGGGAA
rnacentral:tRNA from 1 species